UGACCUCAAAUCAGGUAGGACUACCCGCUGAACUUAAGCAUAUCAAUAAGCGGAGGAAAAGAAACUAACAAGGAUUCCCCUAGUAACUGCGAGUGAAGCGGGAAGAGCUCAAAUUUAAAAUCUGGCAGUCUUUUGGCUGUCCGAGUUGUAAUCUAGAGAAGUGUUAUCCGCGCUGGACCGUGUACAAGUCUCCUGGAAUGGAGCAUCAUAGAGGGUGAGAAUCCCGUCUUUGACAUGGACUGCCAGGGCUUUUGUGAUGCGCUCUCGAAGAGUCGAGUUGUUUGGGAAUGCAGCUCAAAACGGGUGGUAAAUUCCAUCUAAAGCUAAAUAUUGGCGAGAGACCGAUAGCGAACAAGUACCGUGAGGGAAAGAUGAAAAGAACUUUGGAAAGAGAGUUAAACAGUACGUGAAAUUGCUGAAAGGGAAACGCUUGAAGUCAGUCGCGUCGUCCAGGGAUCAACCUUGCUUUUGCUUGGUGCACUUUCUGGUUUGACGGGUCAGCAUCAAUUUCGACCGUUGGAAAAAGAUUGGGGGAAUGUGGCAUCUUUGGAUGUGUUUAUAGCCCUUGGUUGCAUACAAUGGUUUUUGGGAUUGAGGAACUCAGCACGCCGCAAGGCCGGGUUUUUUAAACCACGUACGUGCUUAGGAUG
rnacentral:rRNA from 1 species